GAGAGAGGUUUCGAGACAAUAAGAACUGCUAAUUCUUACACCCAUGGUUAAAUUCCACGGCUCACUCG
rnacentral:tRNA from 1 species